GGCCACCUCAUAUUGAAACACUGGUUCCCAUACGAUCAGCAAAGUUAAGCAACACUGAGCCUGGUCAGUACCUAAAUGAGUGACCGCUUGGAAAUCCCAAGUAAUGUA